GAUGAACGCUGACAGAAUGCUUAACACAUGCAAGUCUACUUGAAUUUGGGUUUUUUAACUUAGAUUUGGGUGGCGGACGGGUGAGUAACGCGUAAAGAACUUGCCUCACAGCUAGGGACAACAUUUGGAAACGAAUGCUAAUACCUGAUAUUAUGAUUAUAAGGCAUCUUAGCAUUAUGAAAGCUAUAUGCGCUGUGAGAGAGCUUUGCGUCCCAUUAGCUAGUUGGAGAGGUAACGGCUCACCAAGGCGAUGAUGGGUAGCCGGCCUGAGAGGGUGAACGGCCACAAGGGGACUGAGACACGGCCCUUACUCCUACGGGAGGCAGCAGUGGGGAAUAUUGGACAAUGGACCAAGAGUCUGAUCCAGCAAUUCUGUGUGCACGAUGACGUUUUUCGGAAUGUAAAGUGCUUUCAGUUGGGAAGAAAAAAAUGACGGUACCAACAGAAGAAGUGACGGCUAAAUACGUG
rnacentral:rRNA from 1 species